UGUCUGUAGCAUAUCACAACAUUGAAUGAUUCCAUAUUGGCCUCUUGGAUUUUAUCUUGGCAUAUAUGCGACAGUCUUCUGUUUGGAUAACUCUUAUGAUUAUAAACCCUAAAAAUAGAUAGUAAAAAAUUAAAACCAAAAGUAAUAAAAUCCAGUAGUAGUUCCGAUUGCUCAACAACACCUUUGCAGGAAAUUUGAAAUCGUCUCUGGGAUGAGAUGAGACAAGAAAAUGGUGAAUUAGAUUGAAGACAAAUCUCCAGAUAAAGAAUCCGAUCAUUAGAUGAUGGUUGGACUUUAGAUUCGUGCAAAGAAGUUAUCAGGUAAGAGUAGAGUUUCAAUUGAAAACUUCAGAUGGAUAAAAAUGGUGGCAAUAAGGGAGUAUUACAAGAAGGGAAAUUUGGUUACUGGGCGAUGGUUAUGGUGUGGCGAUUUAGUAUGGGACUCCUAUGAUUCAAGUUUGUAUGGAUUCUGAUUU